CGCAUCUGUGCAUGCAGCAUAUCAAAAGCGGAGGAAAAGAAACUAACAAGGAUUCCCCUAGUAACGGCGAGUGAAGCGGGAAGAGCUCAAAUUUGAAAUCUUAAAGGGUUUCCCUUUACGAAUUGUAGUUUAAAGAAGUGUUUUCUGUUGAGGUUUUGGUAAAAGUUCUUUGGAAUAGGACAUCAUAGAGGGUGAGAAUCCCGUAUUUGACCUUUACUUUCAACUUUGUGAUACACUUUCAAAGAGUCGGAUUGUUUGGGAAUGCAGUCCAAAAUGGGUGGUAAAUUUCAUCUAAAGCUAAAUAUUGGCGAGAGACCGAUAGCGAACAAGUACCGUGAGGGAAAGAUGAAAAGAACUUUGAAAAGAGAGUUAAACAGUACGUGAAAUUGUCAAAAGGGAAGCGUUUGACACCAGUGUUGUUUUUCUGAAAAUCAAUUAAAGAACUGUUUAUGCUAAGCUGUUUAGACUUUAUCAGCUAUCUGUUUAGUUUUGAGCUUUUCUUUAAUGCACUUUUCAGUUAACAAGUCAACAUCAAUUUCUUUUGCUGUAAAAAAGCUUGAGGAAGGUGGCUUGAGAUUCGUCUUAAGUGUUUAUAGCCUCUUGCCUAUGCAGUCGGAGAGAUUGAGGUCUGCAGCGUAGAUCCUUCGGGGCUAAAUGCAUUUGUGCUAAGUUAUAGCAUUUUAUAGACAACUUGUUGACUAUGAUUUGUCUUGUAGCUUACUCGCUUAUGUUAUUUUACCUACGCUUAGGAUGUUGAACGCGCACAGAGUCUC
rnacentral:rRNA from 1 species